AGCUCAGCUGGCUAGAGCGCUUCCAUGGCAUGGAAGAGGUCAUCGGUUCGACUCCGAUAUUCUCCA
rnacentral:tRNA from 1 species